UACGGAGGGGACUAGCGUUGUUCGGAAUUACUGGGCGUAAAGCGCACGUAGGCGGAUUUGUAAGUCAGGGGUGAAAUCCCGGGGCUCAACCUCGGAACUGCCUUUGAUACUGCAAAUCUCGAGUCCGGAAGAGGUGAGUGGAAUUCCUAGUGUAGAGGUGAAAUUCGUAGAUAUUAGGAAGAACACCAGUGGCGAAGGCGGCUCACUGGUCCGGUACUGACGCUGAGGCGCGACAGCGUGGGGAGCAAACAGG
rnacentral:rRNA from 1 species